CCAUGGCCUGGACCCCACUCCUCCUCUUCAUCAUCCUCCUUCACUGCACAGGGUCCCUCUCCCAGGCUGUGCUGACUCAGCAGCGCUUUGCAUCGGCCUCCCUGGGAGCCUGGGUCAAGCUCACCUGCACCCUGAGCCCUGGGUAUAGGUACAACACCACUGGAUGGCACCAGCAGCAGCCAGGGAAGGCCCCUUGGUACUUAAUGUAUGUUAACAGUGAUGGAACCAGCAUCAAUGGGGAUGGGAUUCCUGACUGCUUCUCAGGCUCCGGCUCUGGGGCUGACCGCUACUUAACCAUCUCCAACCUCCAGUCUGAGGAUGAGGCUGAUUAUUACUGUCAGUCCUAUGACAGCAGUGGUAUUCUUCACAGUGACACAGGCAGAUGA